AAUCCAUGAUGCGGGCACCGCCUAAGAAGGUCCUUGAAUCAUUCAUGUGCGUCAAAUAGUAUUUUUGAUUCUCCUUGCUUAAAUUUUGAGAUCUCAAGCCUGAUCUU